GUUGUUGCCAUGAUGAGUCUCUAUUUGGACUAGAGUUUCUGAUCUGGUCAUAUUUAGCCAGAAAUUGAAGACUACCCUUGGCUGUCUGAGCAAAAC